UACAGAGGUCUCAAGCGUUGUUCGGAUUCAUUGGGCGUAAAGGGUGCGUAGGUGGCGCCGUAAGUCAGGUGUGAAAUUUCGGAGCUUAACUCCGAAACUGCAUUUGAUACUGCGGUGCUUGAGGACUGGAGAGGAGACUGGAAUUUACGGUGUAGCAGUGAAAUGCGUAGAGAUCGUAAGGAAGACCAGUGGCGAAGGCGGGUCUCUGGACAGUUACUGACGCUCAGGCACGAAAGCAUGGGGAGCAAAAGGG
rnacentral:rRNA from 1 species